AAUGAAUGAUGACAAAAUGUUUCGGUCCCGUAUGAUAUGAUUACACUGUUACAUUUAUUUCUGAUACU
ensembl:snoRNA SNORD73 Small nucleolar RNA SNORD73